UUGUUUAUUAGUGCUGUGAAAGUUAUUAUUGAGAGUCAUGCCUUAUGAUGGCCGUUUUAACGUUUAUAUCAUGUUUACAGAUACAGUGCCUGUAGGGAAUAUCUAGAUAAGCGCAGAGUUAAGGGGAUAUGUCCAAGGGUAUAGUCCGUAAUACCCAUGUUUUGCAUUUUGCACAUAUAGUGAGCUAUUUGCAGCAUUUACAAGCUAUUGACAACCCAAUUUACACAUAAUUGAGUGCAUUUGUUGUUAUCAUUUUUGCACUGCUUGCAGCUGUUGCCAUAACUACACAUUUGAGGAGUUGUUGGUGUAACCUCUGUUUCCUCUGUUCAGGCCAGCACAUCAAGUGCAUCUAUACAGCUUCCUGCAACAAGGGAUGUUGCAUGCCAGACUGACCCACUGUAGGCACACAGUUAUCCUUGAGGACUCUUCAGCCUCACAUCAGAAGUACAGACUCUACCUGGCUGCCACGUACUACAAUGAAAAUGCUGACCGACCACAAGCCCAAACAAAAGAAGGUGAACCACUGUUCAAGGUCCAAUUUCCAAAGGGAAUGUGGUGGACCUCAUAUUUGAAAAAGUCUUUGUUGACCUGGGAGCAUACACAGAAGCUGCUUUGGCCAUCCCCAUCCCAGAGGACCUCACUGCACAGUUAGAGCGGCCUGAGAAGGAGUAGGUCAAAUCCAGCUAUGUGUCCCGGUUCUAUCAUGGUCCAGUCUAAAUCCCACCUACUGGCAUGUGGCGUGAGGAAACUCGGCAUGGAUGCGUAGGACCAGGCAGGCUGGAAUGACGACCCAGAUUCUGCGACAAAGAAAACCCCAGCACCAGCUCACAAAGCUCCUAUAGGCUAGAUACCUGUACUGACUAAAACAACUGGACAGGGCAUUUAGUCUUGCAAACAUAUAUCUAUGAUGUGUCUCACAAUUUUUUUUUAUGGAUCCAGUGAAUCCUACAGUUUUUUUAUUAUCACUGAUUAUAAGUCUCUCAUUUGAUGUAAAUAAAUGCUUGAUUGUUACUA